rnacentral:rRNA from 1 species
UACGUAGGGUGCAAGCGUUAAUCGGAAUUACUGGGCGUAAAGGGUUAGUAGGUGGCCAACUAAGUCAGAUGUGAAAUCCCUCGGCUUAACCGGGGAACUGCGUCUGAUACUGGAUGGCUUGAGUUUGGGAGAGGGACGCAGAAUUCCAGGUGUAGCGGUGAAAUGCGUAGAUAUCUGGAGGAACACCGGUGGCGAAGGCGGCUCGCUGGGCCAGUUCUGACACUCAUCCGCGAAAGCGUGGGGAGCAAACAGG